AGGAUGAACGCUAGCUACAGGCUUAACACAUGCAAGUCAGGGGCAGCAUGUGGUUGCUUGCAACCAAUGAUGGCGACCGGCGCACGGGUGAGUAACGCGUAUCCAACCUUCCCCUUAGUAGAGGAUAGCCCGGCGAAAGUCGGAUUAAUACUCUAUGUUCUUCAAUGCGGACAUCUAAGUUGAAGCAAAGAUUUAUCGCUAAGGGAUGGGGAUGCGUCUGAUUAGGUUGCAGGCGGGGUAACGGCCCACCUGGCCUACGAUCAGUAGGGGUUCUGAGAGGAAGGUCCCCCACACUGGUACUGAGACACGGACCAGACUCCUACGGGAGGCAGCAGUGAGGAAUAUUGGUCAAUGGGCGCGAGCCUGAACCAGCCAAGUAGCGUGCAGGAACCGACUGCCCUAUGGGUUGUAAACUGCUUUUAUCAGGGAAUAAAGUGAGGCACGCGUGCCUUUUUGUAUGUACCUGAUGAAUAAGGACCGGCUAAUUCCGUGCCAGCAGCUGC
rnacentral:rRNA from 1 species